GACGAACGCUGGCGUCGUGCUUAACACAUGCAAGUCGAACGGAAAGGCCCUGCUUUUGUGGGGUGCUCGAGUGGCGAACGGGUGAGUAACACGUGAGUAACCUGCCCUUGACUUUGGGAUAACUUCAGGAAACUGGGGCUAAUACCGGAUAGGAGCUCCUGCUGCAUGGUGGGGGUUGGAAAGUUUCGGCGGUUGGGGAUGGACUCGCGGCUUAUCAGCUUGUUGGUGGGGUAGUGGCUUACCAAGGCUUUGACGGGUAGCCGGCCUGAGAGGGUGACCGGCCACAUUGGGACUGAGAUACGGCCCAGACUCCUACGGGAGGCAGCAGUGGGGAAUAUUGCACAAUGGGCGGAAGCCUGAUGCAGCAACGCCGCGUGCGGGAUGACGGCCUUCGGGUUGUAAACCGCUUUCGCCUGUGACGAAGCGUGAGUGACGGUAAUGGGUAAAGAAGCACCGACUAACUACGUG
rnacentral:rRNA from 1 species